rnacentral:rRNA from 1 species
GACGAACGCUGGCGGCGUGCUUAACACAUGCAAGUCGAGCGGUAAGGCCCUUUCGGGGGUACACGAGCGGCGAACGGGUGAGUAACACGUGGGUGACCUGCCCUCAGCUCUGGGAUAAGCCCGGGAAACUGGGUCUAAUACUGGAUAUGACUCCAUGACGCAUGUUGUGGGGCGGAAAGCCUUGUGCGGCUGGGGAUGGGCCCGCGGCCUAUCAGCUUGUUGGUGGGGUGAUGGCCUACCAAGGCGACGACGGGUAGCCGGCCUGAGAGGGCGACCGGCCACACUGGGACUGAGACACGGCCCAGACUCCUACGGGAGGCAGCAGUGGGGAAUCUUGCGCAAUGGGCGAAAGCCUGACGCAGCGACGCCGCGUGAGGGAUGACGGCCU